GACGAACGCUGGCGGCGUGCUUAACACAUGCAAGUCGAACGGUGAAGCGCCUUCCUUUUUGGUGGGUGUGGAUGAGUGGCGAACGGGUGAGUAACACGUGAGUAACCUGCCCCCUUCUUCUGGAUAACCGCAUGAAAGUGUGGCUAAUACGGGAUAUUCUGGGUCUGUCGCAUGAUGGGUCUGGGAAAGAUAUUGUUUCGGUGGGGGAUGGACUCGCGGCCUAUCAGCUUGUUGGUGGGGUGAUGGCCUACCAAGGCGGUGACGGGUAGCCGGCCUGAGAGGGUGGACGGCCAGACUGGGACUGAGACACGGCCCAGACUCCUACGGGAGGCAGCAGUGGGGAAUAUUGCACAAUGGGCGCAAGCCUGAUGCAGCGACGCCGCGUGAGGGAUGGAGGCCUUCGGGUUGUGAACCUCUUUCGCCAGUGAAGCAGGCCUGCCUCGUUUGUGGGUGGGUUGACGGUAGCUGGAUAAGAAGCGCCGGCUAACUACGUG
rnacentral:rRNA from 1 species